GUUCCUGCCAACUGUAAGUUUUGGCAAAGAGUUCAUAACCUUUAAGGUUUACAGCGUUGGAUUUCGAUAUGAAGUAGAGAACCUGAUCGUUUCUGUGACGGACAACACUAGUGUCGCCAUAAUAUCAAAGAGAUCGUUUGUCAGCGUUACUAUACCAAAGGCUGGAGAUACGCAUUCUUUCUUCUUACAAGGACAAGACGGGCCUCAAAUGAUAACAAGCAAUCACCCCAUACAAGUCAUGCAGAUUUUCAGACCUUACUGCUUGGACUCAGCUGUUAAAGACUUGUAUAGUUACGGUGGAGUGGCGCUCUCUCUGUUGCUUCCAACAAAUAUGUACUUCAAUUUUUACACUUGGAGCAUACCGAUUCCGGGAUGGUUAGCGACUAUGGUCAUUAUUAAACAGAUUGGUGUCCAAGUCGAAGUGUUAGAUGAAAAGCAAACCAC
rnacentral:sRNA from 1 species